UACGGGGGGAGCAAGCGUUGUUCGGAUUUACUGGGCGUAAAGGGCGCGUAGGCGGUCGUGACAAGUCACUUGUGAAAUCUCCGGGCUUAACUCGGAACGGUCAAGUGAUACUGUCGGACUAGAGUACAGAAGGGGCAACUGGAAUUCUCGGUAUAGCGGUGAAAUGCGUAGAUAUCGAGAGGAACACCUGCGGCGAAGGCGGGUUGCUGGGCUGAUACUGACGCUGAGGCGACGAAA
rnacentral:rRNA from 1 species